rnacentral:rRNA from 1 species
GGCCCUAAACCUGCAGUCGAGCGGACUUGACGGAAGCUUGCUUCCGUUCAGUUAGCGGCGGACGGGUGAGUAACACGUGGGUAACCUGCCUGUAAGACUGGGAUAACUCCGGGAAACCGGGGCUAAUACCGGAUAUUCUUUUUCUUCGCAUGAAGAAGAAUGGAAAGGCGGCUUUUAGCUGUCGCUUACAGAUGGACCCGCGGCGCAUUAGCUAGUUGGUGAGGUAACGGCUCACCAAGGCAACGAUGCGUAGCCGACCUGAGAGGGUGAUCGGCCACACUGGGACUGAGACACGGCCCAGACUCCUACGGGAGGCAGCAGUAGGGAAUCUUCCGCAAUGGACGAAAGUCUGACGGAGCAACGCCGCGUGAGUGAAGAAGGUUUUCGGAUCGUAAAGCUCUGUUGUCAGGGAAGAACAAGUACGGAAGUAACUGUCCGUACCUUGACGGUACCUGACCAGAAAGCCACGGCUAACUACGUGCCAGCAGCCGCGGUAAUACGUAGGUGGCAAGCGUUGUCCGGAAUUAUUGGGCGUAAAGCGCGCGCAGGCGGCUUCUUAAGUCUGAUGUGAAAGCCCACGGCUCAACCGUGGAGGGUCAUUGGAAACUGGGAGGCUUGAGUGCAGAAGAGGAGAGCGGAAUUCCACGUGUAGCGGUGAAAUGCGUAGAGAUGUGGAGGAACACCAGUGGCGAAGGCGGCUCUCUGGUCUGUAACUGACGCUGAGGCGCGAAAGCGUGGGGAGCGAACAGGAUUAGAACCUUGGGUGAAUCC